rnacentral:sRNA from 1 species
AAUGGCAACCGAUAUAAAAAUAAUAAUGUAAUCCAGGCGGCGGGGGUGAACGCAGACACCCGCACCCGGCGAUCUCCUGCAGGUCCCUCCUCUGAAGAAUUGUCUUGUUUGUAGCUUGCACUGCAGCAAGUAAGAAUUUCAUCAAAGGAUUCUGAAACUCAUGAGAAAUAAAAGGCUGCAGCAUUUGCUCCACAAGAAAAACGGAGGGCAGUGUAUCCAGCUUCAUCUCUGUGGUGAAGCAAAACGUGACAAUUGAUGAUGCUGAGGAAGAAAAUGAGAGGCUCUUUUGUUUUGUACAAAAAAAUCACAGGAAAGCAACCUGGUUAGAGGCUAAAAGGACUCGGGGAAGCUGCACAGGAUGCUGUAGUCCCAGGAAGCUCUGCUUUAGGGACUUCGAUGAGUCAUAAUGUGUUCUCUGAAGUCGCUUUUUCUCUUUCUAGCAUGGUAGCAAGAGGUGGAAGUUGCUUUUUCAUGUCUGCUCGGCCACAUUUGCUUGUUAUGUAAGUCUUCUUUGGCAGAUGAGAGUGCUUCUAUAAAGUAGAGAGUGGGCUUAAAAACCAGUGUCUGGUUGCAACACCCUUGUGGAAAAAAAAUCACACGCACAGAAUUUGGAAGCUUAUAGUCCCUACAAAGCAUUGAUGUGAACUGGUACAUUAUUUCGCUUCAGGCCAGGGCAGGUAAGGCCAUUAGGGAAUGGGUAUUUCAUGUGUAGUAAGAGACACUGGAAUUUGAUAAAUUGAAUCCGCUGGCAUUUAAUUUACUGAAGGGUUUAGAAUUAGCAAGAAAACUGAUUAUAGAACUGAACACUAGUCUUUCCUUCUUCUCCCCUAAUAAACAAUUUUAAAGCCA